rnacentral:rRNA from 1 species
UACGGAGGGUGCAAGCGUUGCUCGGAAUUACUGGGCGUAAAGGGCGUGUAGGCGGUGUCGUAUGUCUGACGUGAAAGCCCCGGGCUCACCCCGGGAAGUGCGUUGGAAACUGCGAGACUAGAGUCCCGGAGAGGAAGGUGGAAUUCCAGGUGUAGCGGUGAAAUGCGUAGAUAUCUGGAAGAACACCGGCGGCGAAGGCGGCCUUCUGGACGGUGACUGACGCUGAGACGCGAAAGCGUGGGGAGCAAAC